CUACGGGGGGCUGCAGUCGAGAAUAUUUUGCAAUGCGCGCAAGCGUGACAAUGCGACGCCGCGUGAGCGAUGAAGAUCUUCGGAUUGUAAAGCUCUGUCAGCCCGGAUGAAAAUUAUCGGCAUAAUAAACCGAUAACUUGACCGUACGGGCAGAGGAAGCCACGGCUAACUCCGUGCCAGCAGCCGCGGUAAUACGGAGGUGGCAAGCGUUGUUCGGAUUUAUUGGGUGUAAAGGGUAUGUAGGUGUCCUGUUAAGUCCUUCUUGAAAUACUUUGGCUCAACCAAAGAACCGGGGGGGAAACUGGCAGGAUUGAGUACAGGAGAGGGGAGCGGAAUUCCCGGAGUAAGGGUGAAAUCUGUAGAUACCGGGAGGAACACCAGUGGCGAAAGCGGCUCCCUGGUCUGAUACUGACACUGAAAUACGAAAGCAAGGGGAGCAAACAGGAUUAGAUACCCGGGUAGUC
rnacentral:rRNA from 1 species